rnacentral:lncRNA from 1 species
GCUGUACAAGUCAUUAAUUUCAAGAGAGAGAGUGUGUAUGUACACAUACACAUAUAUUUCAACUGGGCAGUACUCAAGACCACUAAUCUCAGGGGGGUUUUUUUGUUCUUUCUUAUUGCUCUUAUCUUUCUUUUUUCUUUUUUUUAAUAAUUAUGACAUUUUCCUUUAAGCUUGAAUCAUUUUAAGGGGCUUUCAGUCUCUUGAUGGAUUUCUUCCAGAACUUGAGUUCACUCGCACCUAGUCUCUGAACUUGGUAGAGAUAAAUCCCAAUCUUCAUGUCUUAAAAAGACCUAAUAACUAAGGGUCUCAAAUAAGUUGUUUUCUCCUUAGCCCAUUUCUCUUCUUGAUCACACAGCCCAGCACCCCAUCCAAGAUCCAUUUAUAGCGAGUACUUGGCUGGACCAUGCCUGGCGUGGUCCUCUGUGGUGCUAUGUCCUGUUUCAGGAAGCAGAGGUCCUGGAACUCUGGAGAUUUUCUGUAAAGGAGCUUUAUGACAUCACUUCCUAGAAAGAUCCCAGGCUGGACAGUCCCUCAUCGAAUGCACCUUGUGGAACUCAAAUGGAAAACUUGACUUUCUCGAAGACUAAAGCAACUGCGUUAUGCAGUUUGUCUGAGGGUUGCUCACCACGAAUGUUGCCUGGUGCAAUGAUGCCUGACUCUUAAACAUGUGGUUUCUGGAGGAAAUUCCGUCAUUAUAUUCUUUCCUAAAAAUCUGCAUCCCACUUUGGUAUAUCUCCUUGAAACAACUUCCCUAUAAACUUCAAGGAGUUGGCGAUUAAUUUCCACGGUGGAAGUGUUUGUCUUGUGUAAAGUCUAAGGAGGCCGUAUGCCGGCUCAGAAUUUGUUCUAAUAAAAGGAAACCCCUGGAACAGAAGCACGCAAUUUUGGGUGUUCAUGAAAUAUAGAGAGGAUAAGCAAUGCCCAGUUUGAUUCUGGACAAACUGCAGAUGGACGUUGAGUCCUAGACAUGUUCUCUUAUUUCUCAUAGUAAUUAAUGAAUUUUUCACUUCUUGUUAUAAAAAUGAAGAUCAAAACAAAGCAAAGCUACAACAGGGCCCUGUAAACUUUGAUGUUUUCUGGAAAUGUAUCUUCAAGGGUUGGCAACAACAGGACAUAAAUAUUAACAGCUGGCAUUUGAAUCAUGUUCCUAUUUGAUGAGGCAGGUUUUAUCAGCCCUACUUGAGAGAAGAGAAAACUUCAGGCACUGAGGUCGCCCCAGCUACCCCAAG